rfam:Camelus ferus unplaced genomic scaffold scaffold699, whole genome shotgun sequence.
GAGAGUAUGGCUCAGUGGUAGAGUGCAUGCUUAACAUGCACAAGGUCCUGGGUUCAAUCCCCAGUACCUCCC